AUACCUUUCUCGGCCUUUUGGCUAAGAUCAAGUGUAGUAUCUGUUCUUAUCAGUUUAAUAUCUGAUAUGUGGACCAUUGGUUCACACGAUAUUAACUUUCUUUUUUAAGGGAGGAAAUCCAUCAAGAUAGCUUGCUAUCUAGGCUUUCGUGAGUCGCCCAUGCACUGCACUAUAGCAAGGGCCUGGCUCAACCCAC